rnacentral:misc_RNA from 1 species
AACGCACAUUGCGCCCCCUGGUAUUCCGGGGGGCAUGCCUGUCCGAGCGUCAUUGCUGCCCUCAAGCACGGCUUGUGUGUUGGGCUUCCGUCCCUGGUAACGGGGACGGGCCCAAAAGGCAGUGGCGGCACCAUGUCUGGUCCUCGAGCGUAUGGGCUUUGUCACCCGCUCCCGUAGGUCCAGCUGGCAGCUAGCCUCGCAACCAAUCUUUUUAACCAGGUUGACCUCGGAUCAGGUAGGGAUACCCGCUGAACUUAAGCAUAUCAAUAAGCGGAGGAUCUGUCAGUGCAAUAGUCUCUGUGAGUCAUCGAGUCUUUGAACGCACAUUGCGCCCCCUGGUAUUCCGGGGGGCAUGCCUGUCCGAGCGUCAUUGCUGCCCUCAAGCACGGCUUGUGUGUUGGGCUUCCGUCCCUGGUAACGGGGACGGGCCCAAAAGGCGGUGGCGGCACCAUGUCUGGUCCUCGAGCGUAUGGGGCUUUGUCACCCGCUCCCGUAGGUCCAGCUGGCAGCUAGCCUCGCAACCAAUCUUUUUAACCAGGUUGACCUCGGAUCAGGUAGGGAUACCCGCUGAACUUAA